rnacentral:rRNA from 1 species
GUCCACGCCGUAAACGAUGAUAACUAGGUGUUGGAGGAAUUGACCCUUUCAGUACCGUAGCACACGCGCUAAGUUAUCCGCCUGGGGAGUACGGCCGCAAGGCUAAAACUCAAAGGAAUUGACGGGGCCCGCACAAGAGGUGGAGUAUGUGGUUUAAUUCGAAGCAACGCGAAGAACCUUACCUGGGUUUGACAUACUGUGAAAAUCGUAGAGAUACGUAAUAGUCGCAAGACACACAGAUACAGGUGCUGCAUGGCUGUAGU